rnacentral:tRNA from 1 species
CAAAAAAUAGUUUAAUACAUAAAACAUUAAUUUUGGAGAUUAAAAAUAUAAUAAAAUUAUUUUUUUGA